UACGUAGGUGGCAAGCGUUGUCCGGAUUUACUGGGCGUAAAGAGCGCGCAGGCGGUUGGUUAAGUCGAAUGUGAAAGCCCCCGGCUCAACUGGGGAGGGUCAUUCGAUACUGAUCGACUUGAAGGCAGGAGAGGGAAGUGGAAUUCCGGGUGUAGUGGUGAAAUGCGUAGAUAUCCGGAGGAACACCAGUGGCGAAGGCGACUUCCUGGCCUGUUCUUGACGCUGAGGCGCGAAAGCUGGGGGAGCAAACGGG
rnacentral:rRNA from 1 species